rnacentral:piRNA from 1 species
UNCCUAGUGAGUUCUAGGCUAGUUAGGGC